ACUCUGCAUCCGGGUUUCUGCUCACCUGACUCUCAUACCUGUCGCAGGAGUCUUGUUUAUGCCCCAUCGCCUCGGCCUGAUCAGGUUGUUCCUGAUUUGUGUUUAUGUUGGAUUCUUACUUUCCUGGAGGCUGUCCCUCUGAGGUUUGUUGGUAUGUCGUUUAUUCUUUUGUGAUGAAAGCUGAAUUCUUUCCCUCAGGUGUAAACAGAUGUUCUGAUUGUAGGCUGUAGCUGGGGAAGUCUGGCACUGGCUGCUUCUUCCUACGACCAAGCGACGCUGCUUCAUCAAUGUGAAACUUUAACUUGGAUUUAUUUCUGUUAUCAUCGCUCCCAGGUAGGUUAAAUGCGCUGUGUGCCGGGUGGUAGCCGCUUCGUACCUUAAACGUGUGUUUACUCAUUUGGAAGAGGCUGUUGUCAUGCCUACGUGCUACUUCUCUCUGCGCCAUCCACACAGAGAGGGAUUCAGACGCCUUUUCUUUCUGAGCGAUCCUUUUCCCACUGAGAAGCUGGAGCGUCAACGUCACAUAGCGUUGCUUUAGCAACUUCCAGCUGCUCUCUGUGCGACGUUCACGAGCCACACGCUGGUGUUCCUUGUGGGCUAUGUCAGCGUUCCUGGUGCCUUUAGGGUCGUGAUAACACUCCAUCAAAAGCUUCAGCUUUCUGAAGCAGUUUGGAGAGUGAAGACUCAGUGUUCCUCAGGCACACAGCUUCUACAGGCCAAACAGAAAAGGAUGAGAGUGUGAGGGUAAAGUGCAAACUACGUCCAGGACAGAAACAUCUGCAUUAUACUGUUAACACAACUUUGGCUCUUCACAAGCACCUGCACAAACUAGCUAUGAACCCAGAGUGGUGAUACAGCUGAGUGAAUGCAGACCCCAGCACGCCCUGAAAUUUAACAGUUAACCUGUCAGACGUGAAGCUGUUCACCAGACUGGGCAGAGAAAAACUUGUCAGUGCAUCCAGUUUGGAAGAAACUGCAGAAAAUGGCCUUGGCUCCAAAAACAGCAGAGGGCACAGACUUGCAAUACUUAUCUAGAGUAAUGGAAAAACUUAUUAAAGAUGCAGAUUCAUUCUUCCAACAAUUUAACAGUCGUCAAUCAAAGAUGAGAGAGAUUGUAGAAAAGCUCAAGGGGAUUUCUGAAGAAGUACAAAAGAUGCAGAAGUUAGGAUGCAGACAGAAAACUGCACCUACUGCUGAAGAAAGAGGAGCUGCAGCCAUAGGAGCAGGAGUUGUUGUAGGAGCAACUGCUUUGGUUACAGCACCAAUUUCUUUACCUUUAGCGGCAGGUUCUGUUGUUGUUGCAGGUACUGCUGUUCUUGCAGGUACUAUGUUUAAAAUGGCUAAGUAUGUGGCUGGAGGAGGAGCUCCUCCUGCUGCUGGUGCCCUUGGUGGAAAAAUAAAGUCAGAGAGAAGAUUUGCAGAGGAAGUGGAAAAAUUAGGAAAAGAAUUAAUGGCUAUUGUUGAACCAAUGACGAAGGAUGUGGAAGGAAUAAAGAUGGCAUGUGAAAAGUUGGAAAAGGAAUCGGCUGAAGCUCAGGCUAAAAAUAUUUUGACUGAUAUGGAGGAGCUUCAGAGGCUCCUCAGACAAGUGUCUAAACUGAAGAGAAUGAGUGCAGGAGUUUUGGAUGACUUGG